rnacentral:rRNA from 1 species
UACGUAGGGUCCGAGCGUUGUCCGGAAUUACUGGGCGUAAAGAGCUCGUAGGUGGUUUGUCGCGUUGUUCGUGAAAACUCACAGCUCAACUGUGGGCGUGCGGGCGAUACGGGCAGACUAGAGGUACUGCAGGGGAGACUGGAAUUCCUGGUGUAGCGGUGGAAUGCGCAGAUAGUCAGGGAGGAACACCGGUGGCGAAGGCGGGUCUCUGGGCCGUUACU